UACGAAGGGGGCUAGCGUUGUUCGGAAUCACUGGGCGUAAAGGGCGCGUAGGCGGCUUUAUAAGUCGGGGGUGAAAGCCUGUGGCUCAACCACAGAAUUGCCUUUGAUACUGGCGAUCUUGAGUCCGGAAGAGGUGAGUGGAACUCCUAGUGUAGAGGUGGAAUUCGUAGAUAUUAGGAAGAACACCAGUGGCGAAGGCGGCUCACUGGUCCGGUACUGACGCUGAGGUGCGAAAGCGUGGGGAGCAAACAGG
rnacentral:rRNA from 1 species